ensembl:lncRNA
AAGGGACCCAAUCAAUCAAUCAAUCAAUCAAUCAGUCAGUCAGUCAGUCAGUCAGUCAGUCUUUUGAUUACACUAUUUAAAUAGCCCCCAUUUGGGGUCAGCUUUCGCUUACGGCCAUACCACUCUGAAAAAGCCUGAUCUCAUCUGACCUCGGAAGCAAAGCAGAGUUGGGCCUGGUUAGUACUUGGUUGGGAGACUGAAUGGGAAUACUAGGUGCUGUAAGCUUUUUAUUUGGAUCAGUGUUUUCAUGGCCUCUGCACAACAUCCUGUUUUGGGAUAAAGGUUGGACACAGGUUUGAAGGGGACCCAAUCAAUCAAUCAAUCAAUCAGUCAGUCAGUCAGUCAGUCAGUCAGUCUUUUGAUUACACUAUUUAAAUAGCCCCAUUUGGGGUCAGCUUUCGCUUACGGCCAUACCACUCUGAAAAAGCCUGAUCUCAUCUGACCUCGGAAGCAAAGCAGAGUUGGGCCUGGUUAGUACUUGGUUGGGAGACUGAAUGGGAAUACUAGGUGCUGUAAGCUUUUUAUUUGGAUCAGUGUUUCAUGGCCUCUGC